rnacentral:rRNA from 1 species
UACGAAGGGGGCUAGCGUUGCUCGGAAUCACUGGGCGUAAAGCGCACGUAGGCGGCUUCUUAAGUCAGGGGUGAAAUCCUGGAGCUCAACUCCAGAACUGCCUUCGAUACUGGGAAGCUCGAGUCCGGGAGAGGUGAGUGGAACUGCGAGUGUAGAGGUGAAAUUCGUAGAUAUUCGCAAGAACACCAGUGGCGAAGGCGGCUCACUGGCCCGGUACUGACGCUGAGGUGCGAAAGCGUGGGGAGCAAACAGG